CCACACUUGCCUUGCCACCGUGCCGCUCAGGAUCGCCUCCAGGCCUGUGUGUGUCAGCGUGGGGUAGGCCCCGAUUCUCUUUCUCCGCUUGGGUUGAUGGGCGGCCGCAAAGAACGGCAUCUACCGUGUCAGGAGGGGUUGGAGGAUCGGUGUGUCCACUCUCUGUGGCUGGAUGGUCCAGUUGUGGCGUGAUUUUCCCCGGAUUUAGCGAGGUUUGUGGAGGAGCCCAUAAGAAUGGCGUCUCUCCAGGUUGAUGGUCAGGCUCCGCCCCCCAUUGCCAGACAUUUUAAAAUGUUGAAAAAAAAAAAAGAAAAAAAAGAAGUGUUUCUCCUAUGCUAUCUCUUGCCAGUUAACCCCCCCUAUCUCCCCCUGCGGUGCCGUGUUAGAACAGUGCACAUGAGUUGUGCUAAAAUAAUAUGGUUAUCAUUAUAUAUGCAGCAGAGCUGAUAAGGGAGUGUCUGAUGUUAUUAUAGGAUCCUACCCACUAUAUUCCCAACUGUACCCUAAAGGCGCAGACCCGCACCAGGCAAUGUCUCCCGCCUGGGAUCUCCUCUGCACAGCGGGCACUCGAGGGACCCGCUAGUCCAUUAGACCCCCCCCUCGUAGAGUCCAUAGACCAGCUGCCGUCUGCACCCCCACUGUGCCUUCAAAGUCCCGACAGGGCAGAUACGGCGUCUCCACUUGCCCCCUGCAUCACCGGCCACCUCUCUGAUGCAUUGGUCACUCGGUCCUGCGGCCACCGGUCCAUCACAGGCCCUCACAGUCCAGCACAGCCAGGAUCGCAGCAAUGGGGAGCAACUUUCUCCGGGCUCCUCUGAAACCCAGAGAUAGAGGCCCCAGCUAUUCGACGUGGAGCAGCCCAGUUCAGGAUUCUCAGCGGCUUGUCCGCAAUCCCCUCGGGCAACCAGGAAACACCGGGGCAGAUCUCCAUGAAUGCUUGUUUGGUACUCCUUCGUCUAUGCUCAGUUUAUGGUCAGUCUGGGACUGCAACUGCCCAGUAGUCGCUGUGGAUGACAACGGUGAAUCUCGAUGGCCAGGUGGUUGAUGUAAGCGGGUUUGUGAGUCCACACUAAGGUUAAUGUCCACCAUGCUUGUGGGGCCCAUGUCAGGCAGCAAGCAACCUUGGAUCAGUAUAAUCCCCAUUCUCACAAUCCUCGUUGCUGAUCAGUCCCUGAUUUCAGGAGGCUGUAACAUCCCUUCAAUGUGCAGGCUUAGUGUAGGUAGUGUGUGAGCAGCUCAGGUAUGUAGGCCGCGGCAUACAGGCUCACUGAUCGGAGUAGGCCGCAACUGGCAGCACUGCUGCAAUCCUGGCAGUAUCAUCUCACGGUUUGCUUCGCCUGGUUGCUAGGGCUUUCCCCUCCUUUUAUUUAUGCAGCUUGAAGGCAUGGAAGCAUUUUUUUUUUUCAACUUAAUUUCAAGUUUAGGGCUGGAGCUGUGCAAGAUGUCUUCUGGUCAGCGCGACGUCCUGGCCCCGCCUCCCGCAAUCAGGCUUAUUUGUAUUCUAAUUCAAGGUGUCUGGAAUUAUGGAUUUUUAUUUGGGCUUUUUUGGGGCUGAGGACAGAAGAAUUAGAAGAUAAAAGACUUCUGAUGGUAAGUAUCUUUUUAUUUUCAGGUUUAAGAUUUCUUUCUCUUUCUCCUCAGGGGGGUAGGUGGAUACAUUAUUUUGGGGUGUGUGCCUGUCCACCCCACCAAUUGUAUAAUUAAUUAGGGCAAUUAUAAUUAUUUUAUUUUCAUGCGGCUGGUGGGGGUUCUAACAUGUACAAAAGAGGGGGUGGGGGCUCUUAUCCACUUUUCCAAUUCCACCCAUGCCAGCUAGUAGGGACCAGGGAAGGGGACAAUCGGUCCUCCCUUAUUGUUAAUAUUAGGGCCCACUCCCACUAGCAUGGGUG
rnacentral:lncRNA from 1 species